UUGAACGCUGGCGGCAUGCCUUACACAUGCAAGUCGAACGGUAACAGGUCUUCGGAUGCUGACGAGUGGCGAACGGGUGAGUAAUACAUCGGAACGUGCCCGAGAGUGGGGGAUAACGAAGCGAAAGCUUUGCUAAUACCGCAUACGAUCUCAGGAUGAAAGCAGGGGACCGCAAGGCCUUGCGCUCACGGAGCGGCCGAUGGCAGAUUAGGUAGUUGGUGGGAUAAAAGCUUACCAAGCCGACGAUCUGUAGCUGGUCUGAGAGGACGACCAGCCACACUGGGACUGAGACACGGCCCAGACUCCUACGGGAGGCAGCAGUGGGGAAUUUUGGACAAUGGGCGCAAGCCUGAUCCAGCCAUGCCGCGUGCAGGAUGAAGGCCUUCGGGUUGUAAACUGCUUUUGUACGGAACGAAAAGACUCUGG
rnacentral:rRNA from 1 species